rnacentral:rRNA from 1 species
UACGUAGGUGACAAGCGUUGUCCGGAUUUACUGGGCGUAAAGAGCGCGCAGGCGGUCGAUCAAGUCGAGUGUGAAAUCCCCCGGCUCAACCGGGGAAGCGGCGCCGAUACGACCGGCCUCGAGGGACGUAGGGGGGGCUGGAACUUCCGGUGGAGCGGUGAAAUGCGUUGAGAUCGGAAGGAGCGCCCGUGGCGAAAGCGAGUUCCUGGACGUCGGCUGACGCUGAGACGCGAAAGCCAGGGGAGCGAACGGG